CAACACCCUGUCUGACAUCCACAAUGUCUUUCAUACAAACCUGCUCCAACCCGCGGUCAAGGAUCCAUUCCCCUCACAGAGAACCUCCGAUUGACAGCCACUCACCAUCAUAGAAGAAAACAACAAACUCAAGUGAGAAAUCAAAGCAAUCCUUGACAAUAGAACCAACCACCACCACCGUGAAUACCUCAUCAAAUGAGUAGAAUACAAUCAUCCAACCUGGGAACCCGCAUCCACCUUGGAGGACACCACCGCCCUCGACAUCUACGAGUCCUCACUCACCCCAGUAGAAGGGGAUAAUGUGACAGGUUAGCAUCUGUUAGUAAUUAACUUAUGCAACCAACUCCCCUUCUGCACCCACUUGUUUCUGGCUGUUGUCAUCUUGCAUAACCCUCAAUGUUCUUCCACUCCGUGCUCUGUGCUUGCAUAGUUUCUAACAAUUCUUUCAUGUAGCUCUUAACAUUCUUCUGUUCCAUGCUCUGCACUCACAUAGUCUCUAAUGAUUCUUCCACAUAGCUUCUUACAUUCUCCCACUCUGUGUUCCACACUCAUAUAGUCUCUAAUGAUUCUUCUGCAUAGCUUCUUACAUUCUCCCACUCUGUGUUCUGCGCUCGUGAAGUCUCUAAUGAUUCUUCCACAUAGCUCUCAAUGAUUCCUCCACCCCACAUUCCACACUUGUGUAACUUCUAACAAUUCUUACAUGUACUCCUUAAUGUUCUUCCACUCUGCACUCCACUGUGGAGCAGCUUCUGAUAUUCUUCCACCCCGAACUUUCCCCUAUA
rnacentral:sRNA from 1 species